GAUGGCGUCAUUUGGCGACUUUUAGGACAGCCAACAGUUGCUUUUCUUACAGGAAAGUUACCAACAGCGCUCGACAGUCUCUGGGUUAGCGCUCUUGUCUCUCAUUCCGAAGGUUCUGUGUGUCAUGUCUUUGGGUCUAAAACAGUGUUUUCAUGUGAUUUCUGAGUUGAUUUAAAAUGUGUAAACGGGUUCAUAGCUGGUAAAUAAAUAUGUUUAGUAGUAUGUGUAGUAAAAAUGGUUAAAAAGCUAUGGUUAAAAAGUUAAAAGUGAGACAUGUUCUCCAAAAAUGAAUCGUUUCAGUGACAGCAAGAGUGAGUGCUCUUCUCGCUAAUGGACAAUCUUUGACUGUUUUCCUCUCUCUGUGAAGUACAAGCUAGCAACGCAAGAUGGAAGUUUGAAAAAGCUCAUAAACAAGCUGUGUUUGCUCUAAAACGUUUGAGCCUUGGGAAACUUCCGUCUUUUGACCGCACGCAUACAUGCACGGCAAAGCUUCACUGACGCAAGAAAAGGUUGAUGACUCAGAGGAGCUCAGUCACCUGGGAAAGACUACAGCCGCUACUCCUUCACAUGGAGAGGAACCUGUUGAGGAGGCUUGGGCAUCAAGUUAGGCUGCUUCUCGGACGCCUCCCUGCUGAGGUGUUCCGGGCAUGCCCAACCAGGAGGAGGCCCUGGGGUAGGCCUAAGACAUGCUGGAGGAAUUAUCUCCACAAGGUGGCCACAGACCAGGGAAGUCUGGGCUCCCCUACUGGAACUGCUACAACCCAAACCCAGAUAAGUGGAAACAAUGGAAGGAUGGAUGGAAGUUAAGUGUUAACGAACGUGAGCAAAUUGAUAAUUAGCUGAUUUAAAAAAAAAAACUAUGAAUCUAAAUUCCUAUUUAGAUUAAAAUUUUCGAAGCCUCUGUCUGACAGAGUAGGAAAAAGAGAUUAAUGUAUGGGUGCUACACUGACCAGGCACUGUCAUGAAUCAGGUGUCAUGUGAUGUUGAGGAUGUUAUUCCUCAUACGGCUCUUAACAUCUUAAACCCUGGUCCUGAGAGGCUCGCUAUAAACUCUCUGCAUCGACAAGGUGAACAGGAUUGAUCCUGGUGUCGAAGUAAAGGGGAGACUUUGAUGGUUACUGUAAAUUAGAAAAAGUACAUAUCUUUACUACCACAUGCUCUGUCACAGCCGCAACUUCACACAACGUGUGUGUGUGUGUGUGUGUGUGUGUGCACUAAUGAUGCACGAGUGUGCUACAUUAAUUAACCAAUUUAUGAAGUUAUGGUAAGUUUGUGCUGCUUGUGUCCAUAUGCACAUGCUAUACAUCCACGGAACCACAAUUCCGGACCACAAGCACAUAAAAUCGGCAAAUGACAAAAACAAGCAAGCAAACAGAGACUGAAUUAAACUAAACUCUGACGCGACAAACUUGGCAGCAUUUGAAAAGCUAACACUCAGCACUUCCAAAGGUACAAGUCUCAUUCCUCUCACUGAACUUGCAGCAGCUUUAUUUUCUCUUAUACAGUAGCAAAGAUAUCGACAUUAAGUCUCCUCUUUACUUCCAUACCAAGAUUAUCCCUACAGACCUUGUACCCAGAGAGAAACUCGGAACGCCGAGUUUCGUCGUUUCCUGGUUACGUACGGACUCCCAUAAAUGAAUUUCUUAAUUUGGAUCUGUAAACACUGGACUCAUUUGAGGACUCGUUUCAGCACCCACAGUGGAUGAAUAACUGCUGCACGUUUGAAUGAGUGCAGCAGAUACAAGGUGUGAUCUAUUCACAGCUACACGGAGUGGAUGACAUCUCUUAUUAAUUAACUCUUUGAACUUCAUUGACUACCAAGCGUAAGGCGUAAAUGCGCUGACAAAAGCGAAAGCCAUCACCAUGAAAGUGAAAAUGGACAUCAUCAGAAGCUCUGAGAGGAGAAACGCCCACCACUAAUCGCCAUUGAAAUGUGACGUCUAUUGUUAAGGAUAAAGAUAAUUUCCUUGACCGUGUAAUAGAAUCUGCUUCUACGCAAGUGACAGUGAUAACUAAGAAGCAACAUAGUAGUCUGAUUAUUGAGAUAGUAAUUGUCGCAUGUUGGCAGAUCAUAAAUAGAAAGAAAAUGAGAAGCAGCAGUCUCACCAUGUUGAUGGGGUCCACUGGUCCAAUGCUGUUGACAUACACCGCUGUUUCAAUCACAGUCGGCCUCACUAAAAAAAAUCAGAUAAUUUCUAAUGACAAAAAUAAAUUACAGUAUUCAGUCACUCACAUUAUCUGUUUUAUACAGAAUUUGUCGUGGUCUGCCUCCCAACAGACUCUUAUUUUGGUCAGUUGUUGUUCUGUGUAGCAUUUCCUGUCUCAGCUUUAUGUUUCAGGCAGCUUGGUGUGGUGACUGGGAGCGGCAAGGCAGGUGGACUCAACUGGCAAUCAUCACAGUUCAUAAGCCCUGCAUCCACACCACGAAGAUGCCAGAUUGUUCCACAUGGUUCCCCUGCGCAUACCCGAGUUCUCUUUUCUGUACCACAAACUCAGUGUCCCCUUUUUGAUGCCUAGUAUUUUUAUGCCAUGACUUCUGUCGCCCUUUGUUAUGAGUAGGUUUUGUUUCACUUAUUUUCUCCAGUGUGUUUCUGGACUGUUCUGUUCCUCAGGUAUUAGCUUUUGUUGUUGUUGAUGUUGUUAUAUUUCUUCCAUUUAUGAGUUAUGAUGCCAAAUGUGGUGUCCUUCUCACCACGCUUCUUGCUGAAGGGACAGGACUACUCUGUGCGUCUGUGGCGAACAGAAUUCUUACUGGCUGGUAAGGGAUCAAAUACGUAUUUCCCUUAAUCUACUAAAAUUCAUUUAUAACCUUUACUUAUUCUUAUUUUGAUGGAUUUUCUUUACAUUCUGACUCUGUUAAAAAGAAGAAAUCUAGAAUGUUUAUACUUUUGAAAAGGGGUAAACUUAAAAAAUCGGCAGGGGAUCAAAUACUUAUUUUCCCCAUCGUAUGUCUCAGCUACAACGAUAAAGAUUCCUCUUACUCGUGUUUCUUGUUCCGCUGUUUUUGCAAUCUCUGCAUUUUCGUUUUGGUACAUUUUUCAUUACAAAUUUGUUAUUCCCGUUUGUUUUUGAUCUUUUGUUCACCACGUUCCUGCCUCACUUUGCCUCCCCACAUGCCUUUGCCCCCACACCAAGUUGUUAUCCUGUUGUUUUUGUUUCAGGUUUACACAAACAAAUAUGAAUAUGGUGCGUUUUACUUGCCACCAAUGUCAGGUCGUAGUUUGUUGUCGUAUCCUUGUAGAAGUUUGUUAAGUAUCAUCGUCACAUCGCUCUCAUAGACCUUUGGAGAUAAGACCCAGGUCUUAUUAAUGGGUACAUCUUCAUAAUCCUCCUCUUCUUGCUUGCCAGGCCCGAGCGCCACACUAGAGGCACAUGAAAAUAAGGAGAACAUGUGACAAAGGACUACACAUGACUAUUUUGCACAUCCAUUAUUUGUUCGCCGUGUUGUUAUUUCAGCAAGUAAACGCAAAAUACAGUAUGUUGCCCGUGCAAAGACUGGAAGCUCUUUAAUGACACAAAUGCAUCAUAUGGCAUGAUGCACGGUACCUUGCAAGAGUCGUAGGCCACAACAAGCUUUGACAAAUGACUGUGCUAGACUGUGCACUUAAAUGUACCCUGCAGGGAUCAGCCCAGGGCUUAUAUCUCGCCAAAAUCAGCUAUAAUAUUCAGGGUGAGACCCUGGUGAGGACAAGCAGUAUAGAAAAUGAAUGAAUGACUGCUAAGGGUGUCACAAGAUUGACGUGACAAGAUUUCUCCUUCAGUCUCGUGGGCACUAGGGCGAUAUGUAUUGAUGACGAUGAUCAUAUGUAUUUCCUGGGAAUUGUACUUCUGCAGUAAGCGGUACGUUAGUGAGAGAUGAUAAUAUCCACUUACUGUUGUUAUUUGUCUUUCUGUAUAUUUAGACCACACAUACACGCAUAAAAAAUAAUUUUUUUGAGUUUUGGGGUGUCAGCGAGUCACCUCGCUGUGUCUAGUGACAAUGAGGAAGUGUCAUUCCCAGGACGAGCUGACUAGAGUGAGUGAGUUGUGAGUUGGAGAUACUGUACAUAUAUGGUGUUGGAAUUGCACUGCUGUUGAUGUGUUCAGGUCAGAAUAAAGUUAUUGUGUGACUCUGUGGGGAAACUACUGUGGCUCCGUCUGUCAUCAUAACAGAGAGAUUGAUGACAGCCUUAAUAUAGCCUAGAACGACAACUUUAUGUAGAGCAGCGCAUCUUUUUUCACAUCCUCAGACAGUUCUUUGCCAUGAAGUGCCAUGUUGAACUUCCAGUGACCAGUAUGAGAGUGAGAGCAAUAAAACACCAAAUUUAAGGGGUGUACUGUGUUCCCUGGGGGAUAGGUUCCCAAAAUAGCCCGCAAUAAGUGAACUCUGCAAAGUAGCCAACUACAUUUUUUUACAAUGAAUAUAUAUGUUUUAAGGCUGUACCAUACACUUUUCUUGGACAGGUAUUCACAGUUUCUCUCUUGUUGAAACACUCGCAAAGUUAAAAUUUCGUUAGAAUUUUUAUGAUCAACCUUUUAGGUUGGACGCAAGAAAUGAUUAAGUGACUCGCGCGUAUUUCACUCCCCUGACCGUGCCUCUUCAUCUUCGUCGUUAAGUCAUAUUGCUCCUGUCGUUGUAUUUUCUUCACACGGCUGGCUUCUUCUGUUUCUUCCAUUGUGUACAGUAUUGGUGGUUAGCUCACAGUUAACUAGUUUGGUAGCCAUGACCACAGCAAGAGAAGAUUGAUUGACAAUGGUAAACAGCCAAUCAGGAUGUAGAAGACAAUGGGCGGUGCAGACAGACGAGAGAGAGAAUAGACGCUGAAUUACAACACUCAACUUCCAACAAUGCAAUUCUUCUUAAAGGGCAAGGCUCUGCCUGUAAGGUUCAAGAACUGUUAAAAAAAAAAAAAAAAACACGAAAAUUGCACUACAAAAAAAAUCAGGGAGUCCGGGAAAGAUGAACCGUGAUGGAGUGAGGGAACACUGUACUCACUUUAGUGACAUACUGUAUUAACAUGGUCAACAUCAUUUAUCAUUGUCAUUACGCAGCAUAGUACAGGUAGCCUGGGAAACAAGCAACCACCAUGUUUUCCACUGGGGAGGGGGCACAAGAAGGGUUUUGUGUCCCAUGAGGCCAUCGACCCUCAAGCAUCAUUCAUGUGACAUUUUACAUUUGCCUACCUAAACGUUACCGUGUGUGCGAGAGAGAGAGAGAGAGAGAAAGAUGAAUCAAUAAUUACAAACACAAAAGGGUUUUCCCCACCGAAUAAACUGUAAACGCAAACGUCACGCAUUUGUCGGAGGCAAAUAGCGUCACAUAGAAGUAAUAUAUGAAAUAAUAUCACGUAUGAUCGCGUCAGCACAGACUUACCAGAAUCCAAGCAUCGCAAAGAGCAUCCAUGGGCUCAUCGUGGCUUUGCCCCGCGCAGCCCGAGCAAACAGAGGCUUCAUUGAUGACUCCGUGUCCAGGAAAACUGGGAAAUUGGGAGCGUUAUUUUGUGAAGAUUCAGGGGUUUAAAUGUAGCGACGGCGGCAGGAUGGGGAAGCUGCGUCCAUGAUGCGUGU